CAGCUCCAACCUGUCCCUCUGCUGUAACCUGACCAUCUGCCCCCGCAGGAGAAUUCCAACGGAUCGUCAGAGGCGGAAGAUGGGAAGGAGAAAAAGAAGGAGAAACCCCCAAAAUGUGGGCUGAUCAAGGCCAACGAGAAGAUUCUGAACUUGGUGCAAUGUGUCAAACCGCAACUCAACGAACUCAAAGAGGCCUGCAUCGUGAUAACCGCCUGGAUCCAGUACAUGGUGCCGAAGAUCGAAGACGGUAAUGAUUUUGGCGUCGCCAUUCAGGAAAAGAUUCUGGAGCGGACAGCGGCCGUGAAGACCAAGGUGGAAGGGUUUCAGACCAGCAUCACAAAGUAAGUGACCUCU